GAUGAACGCUAGCGGCAGGCUUAACACAUGCAAGUCGAGGGGCAACACGGGUAGCAAUACCUGGUGGCGACCGGCGCAAGGGUGCGUAACGCGUGAGCAACAUACCCUAUACAGGGGGAUAAUCCAGGGAAACUUGGUCUAAUAUCCCAUAGGAUUUACAGAUGUCGUCAUCUAUAAAUUAAAGCUUCGGUGGUAUAGGAUUGGCUCGCGUGACAUUAGCUAGAUGGUGGGGUAACGGCCUACCAUGGCCAUGAUGUCUAGGGGUUCUGAGAGGAAGACCCCCCACACUGGGACUGAGACACGGCCCAGACUCCUACGGGAGGCAGCAGUGAGGAAUAUUGGACAAUGGAUGGAAAUCUGAUCCAGCCAUGCCGCGUGCAGGAAGACGGCCCUAUGGGUUGUAAACUGCUUUUAUAUGGGAGCAAUAAGGUCUACGCGUAGACCGAUGAGAGUACCAUAUGAAUAAGCAUCGGCUAACUCCGUG
rnacentral:rRNA from 1 species